rnacentral:rRNA from 1 species
AUUGAACGCUGGCGGCAUGCCUUACACAUGCAAGUCGAACGGCAGCGCGGACUUCGGUCUGGCGGCGAGUGGCGAACGGGUGAGUAAUACAUCGGAACGUACCCUGUUGUGGGGGAUAACUAGUCGAAAGAUUAGCUAAUACCGCAUACGACCUGAGGGUGAAAGUGGGGGACCGCAAGGCCUCACGCAGCAGGAGCGGCCGAUGUCUGAUUAGCUAGUUGGUGGGGUAAAGGCCCACCAAGGCGACGAGCAGUAGCUUGUCUGAGAGGACGAUCAGCCACACUGGGACUGAGACACGGCCCAGACUCCUACGGGAGGCAGCAGUGGGGAAUUUUGGACAAUGGGGGCAACCCUGAUCCAGCAAUGCCGCGUGUGUGAAGAAGGCCUUCGGGUUGUAAAGCACUUUUGUCCGGAAAGAAAUCGCGCUGGUUAAUACCUGGCGUGGAUGACGGUACCGGAAGAAUAAGCACCGGCUAACUACGUGCCAGCCGCCGCCGUAA